rnacentral:rRNA from 1 species
AGCUCUAAUAGCGUAUAUUAAAGUUGUUGCGGUUAAAAAGCUCGUAGUUGGAUUUUGGAGCUCAUAUUCCUGGCCCGGUGUAAACCGCGUGCGCGGGGAUUGGGUUCUUCUGUCUGGAGACCCCCGUGAGCCCUUCACUGGGUUGGCGGGGGGAUCUAGGACCCUUACUUUGAACAAAUUAGAGUGUUUAAAGCAGGCCAACGCCUUGAAUACAUUAGCAUGGAAUAACAACAUAGGACUUUGGUUCUAUUUUGUUGGUUUUAAGAGCCGAAGUAAUGAUUAAUAGGGACAGUUGGGGGCAUUAAUAUUUAGUUGUCAGAGGUGAAAUUCUUAGAUUUACGAAAGAUUAACUUCUGCGAAAGCAUUUGCCAAGGAUGUUUUCAUUA